rnacentral:rRNA from 1 species
UGCAUAAUUCCAAAUAAGCGGAGGAAAAGAAAAUAACAAUGAUUUCCUUAGUAACGGCGAGUGAACAGGAAAAAGCUCAAAGUUGGAACCUGUUUGGCCUAGCUAAACCGGAUUGUAAACUGUAGAAGUGUUUUCCAGGCAAGCCGGACCGAUAAGUCCUUUGGAACAGGGCAUCAUAGAGGGUGAGAAUCCCGUCUUCGGUCUGAGCAUUUGCCUUUUGCGAUACACUUUCAAAGAGUCAGGUUGUUUGGGAAUGCAGCCUAAAUUGGGUGGUAAAUCUCACCUAAAGCUAAAUAUUGGCGAGAAACCGAUAGCGAACAAGUACCGUGAGGGAAAGAUGAAAAGAACUUUGAAAAGAGAGUUAAACAGUAUGUGAAAUUGUUAAAAGGGAACCGUUUGGAGCCAGACUGGCUUGUCUGUAAUCAGUCUAAGCUUCGGCUUGGAUGCACUUGCAGGCUAUGCCUGCCAACGACAAUUUGGCUUGAGGGAAAAAACUAAGGGAAAUGUGGCCCAUCCGCGGGUGUUAUAGUCCCUUAGAAAAUACCUUGGGCUGGAUUGAGGUACGCAGCGAAUGCUAUUUGGCGAGUUGGCUGGGAAUAUUUUCUGAGGUGCUCUCUGGUACUGAGGUUGAUAUUCCCUAGUUACACUUCUAUCGCUUAGGUGUGCUA